CAGCGUCCAGGCCCAGGGGGUCUGCCUUCCCAUCCUUGUCCGGGACGGUGAACACGCCCACCACCUCGUGGCCCUCCUUCCUCAGGUGGCAGUAAACCUCCUGGCCAAACAAGCUCUGUCCGAUCACGGCGAUCUUCAUGGCACUGGAGGGGGCGGAAGCAGCACGAGACC